GAUUUCUGGUACGAUGUGUCUGGCCCGCCGGGGUUACCCGCGUGAGUGCCGGCGCACAUCUGCCAUCCUUCUAGAAAACGGCCUUACCCUUCAUUGGGCCGAGGUCGCGAUCUAGAUCUUUUACUUUGAAAAAAUUAGAGUGUUUAAAGCAGGCUUACGCUAUGAAUACAUUAGCAUGGAAUAAUAAUUUAGGACUUCGGUCUCUAUUUUGUUGGUUUCUAGAGCUGAAGUAAUGAUUGAUAGGGAUAGUUGGGGGUGCUAGUAUUCAACGGCCAGAGGUGAAAUUCUUGGAUUCGUUGAAGACUAACUUAUGCGAAAGCAUU
rnacentral:rRNA from 1 species